rnacentral:rRNA from 1 species
UACGAAGGGGGCUAGCGUUGCUCGGAAUUACUGGGCGUAAAGCGUGCGCAGGCGGUUGUGCAAGACCGAUGUGAAAUCCCCGGGCUUAACCUGGGAAUUGCAUUUGUGACUGCACGGCUAGAGUGUGUCAGAGGGGGGUAGAAUUCCACGUGUAGCAGUGAAAUGCGUAGAUAUGUGGAGGAAUACCGAUGGCGAAGGCAGCCCCCUGGGAUAACACUGACGCUCAUGCACGAAAGCGUGGGGAGCAAACAGG